rnacentral:lncRNA from 1 species
AUGCUGCGGGUUUUAUUCCCUUCUGGCACCUUUUAUUAUGAGAAUUUUGCUGGUAGGCCUGUUCCCUUGAAAAAUAACGAUGAAAAGAAUCAGGGCUGUAAGGGCAGCAGAAAGGCUGGUACAACUCUUGAGUAUGGCAGGACCCUAAAUCUCUUUGCUCCGCAACGCCCGUCCUGGUUUUGCACCUGCCGCUCCUGCGCCUGGUGGCGAGAGCCGUCCGUCCCGCUGCUUCAUCUGUCCGUCCGUCUGUCUCGCUUCGCCCAGGUUGCCGCAGGGCGCGCGGACAAAACGAACCCUGAGAGCCUUAAAGGCUGGUGGGUUUUUGGUUUUAUUCGCCCCAGGCCUGUGGUUCGUGCACAUCCUGCUCUCGGCAGCCUUUGCGGGAGCCUGGCACCUGGCAGGGCAGCGAGCCCGGCCGCGGCAGAGCGGGGUGGGUUAAUCGUGCAGCGGCCGCGGAGAUGGGCGGAAAUAACACCUCGAAUAUGUCUUCUUUUUUUCCCCCUCUUUCAGGGGUUUAGGGUUUAUGCAGCGAUGGCUCGGGCGCUUUUUUACGCGGAGGUGCGUUGUAUGCCUGCGUACGGCUUCAAAGCCCUGGAGGAAGGGAUCCGCUCGGCCAGGAGGAGGGAUGCGGCUGGCAGCGUGCGAUGCCGCCCGGCCCAGGCAGCAGCGCUCCUGCACCAAUGCAAAGCGGCGCGCGGCGGCGGGGUCGGCGCUCAGCAGCCCGGGCGGCGGGAGCCGUCGGAGCGCAUCGCUCCAGCGCUGCUCCUGCCCUCUGCAGCCCGGGAACCCCGCGGGACGAGCGGUGCGGGAGUGCGCCCCGUCGCCCGGCAUACUGCCCCCGCUUGGGAGCAACGUCCCGUUUCCCGGGCUCGGGCGGGCGGCGAAACCCCCCGCGCCCUCCUCCCUCCCGCACCCGCGCCGGCUUUGGGGGACCCGCGCGCCCGCUUCUCCCCCGCCCUCAGCCCUCGGUUCCCGCCGUGCGCUUCUGUUCGAGUUCGUAUUUUUUCCCCUGCGACAUCUCCGAAGAAUCGCAAGAUGUGCAGCGUGUGUCCCGACGUUGUAUUUUAA